CAUUCCUAAAAUCUCCAAUAAAAGUUGGGGAACAUGUGCAAGCCUCCCUCUUGCCUCUUGCCUCUUGCCUUUCUUGAUCUUCAGAUUGUGCUGGAUCUUCCUGUCGCUCUAGCUUCUAUUGCUCCCCACUUGUUUUCUUGUUUCUCAUGCUUCUCAUUAAUCCUGUGGCACCCUUGCUCAUGGGAAGUAUUACGGAGCUCGCUGCACCCCACGUGUUUUAACUUGUCAUCUCUGAGUCUUUAUUCCUGUGUUUCUCCCUAUAUCACUAUUAUCUAAUCAUCCAUUUUCCUCCAGCCUCCAUUCUCCUCAGGUCACCACCAACGAGUAAUUUGUGUAGUAACUGAAGGUGGUUCCUAUAUUUGAUGCCCAAUAUCGCCUGAGGAGAUGGUGUUAGGGUUCAAGAUUGAAGACGGAUCAGCAGACCUGGACUUGGCCAGUCUGAUAUCAGAUGUCCAUGGAAGAAAACCAAAGUCAUCCAGCAUUUCCAAAGAAGGUCAGCCCAGAGAGAGGAAUAAGCAGAGAUGCCUGUAGAGCACCAACCACAGCACUACACAGAGGCCAGACACCAGAAAAAAUAGCAGAUUUGUUUAAAAUGAACAAACAAGGCAAAACCACUGACUUAGGGACAGGUCUAAUGCACUAUCCACACAAAUGAAUUUUUUCUGAAAGGCAGUUUACCUACAGAAGAAUAUCAUUAAUUUGCUUACAGAUAUUCAAUUCUAAAAAUAUAUGGGUAGUUAUUGUAGGAUCAAUGCUUAUCAUGUACCUGAAUAUUUCAAAUGGUAUUUCUACAAUAUGUAACUUGCAAUUAUUUUAUUGGAAUUGUUCCAUGUUCCCCAAAUUUGAUCAAAUAACAUAAUGGUACAAUUGGAAAUGUUAUAACAGUACAUUGGCUACUGUUCAAUUGCAGCAGAAAUUGUUUACAUUAUCCAAAAUGUAUGUAUGAUAAUUGUCUUAAAUGGUUCAUUUUAUAUUUGCAAAAAAAGGAUGUCUUUAUUAGAAUCAGACUUAUUUAAAAACCAAUUUAGCUGGAAAUUGCAUUUAAGCUUUUAAAUUAAAAAAGAGAUGUAAUGGUACUCCCAACCAUCAAUCACUUCUCCAUCCCAGAAGGGCUAUAGGCUACUCCUAUGCAAUAACAUUUUGAAUGUAAUGAUAAAGAUUACACUGUAUAGUAGCCCUGGAUUUUGUUGAAUAUUACGAAUAUAAAGACUGUAGGGGACCCAACAGGAUGAUAACAUUGGGUCGAGGGUUUGCUUAUAUUUCUACAGAGAGUGGAAACAUCUGGUCACCCACAGAGCACAUCAUGCCACGUGACACAGGACCACCAGGAAGAGAAGCAGAGAGACAAUAUAGAUAACAUCGAUCACCAGCAGACCAGAUGCACUCAGGACACACCUGACAAGAUGCUCACUGGUGACUACACAUAUGUCAAAGACUGACAUUAUACUUCUCUUAAUUAUGUUCACCAUCAUUACCCUGAUGGACACUUGUCAUACUGACAUCUAUUGGUCUAUUAUACCUAAACCCCAAUAUUAAGAAUGUUAACUUGUAUGGACAAGCCCCAACUUGUGUAUGUCAAUGAUACUAAAUGGCUACCAUACCCAAUUUUAGCCAAAUACAUUACCAUGGAAUCCGAAGGGGCAAGCUACAAUUGUUCGGUCUCUGCUGUACACCCUUAAUUUUGUAUGUCUACGCUAUGUACUGACAAAAGGAAUUUAUUUUGUAUACAUUGUAAAAUUCAAACUUGUAUUGCAAAAAAUGCUACUGAUAACAAUUAUACAGGCAUUGGUAUGACUCUCAGAGGAACAAGGGCUAGAAUUUAUCAACCACAACAUAGACCUAGUAGCCCUGACAACAAAAAAUUGUGUUAUAGACACUGCACAGGGAUUUAUAAUGUCCUGGUCAAACUCCUAGAAAGGAUGAGAUGUCAGGUAAUAAACUGCCACCUGCAUCUAUGUAUAGAUUCUAUUCAUGACAAUACCUAUAUAGCUAUAAUGUACCAACCCCCAUUGGUGAGGUUACAUGUGAAUCUUAUGGACAUGGGCAUCUACUCCAACUGAACAUUUUAUUCACAAACCAUUUAUGAUCAUUACUCCUGAAACCCCCAUCUGUUGGGUGAUAUCUUUGUGGGAACUCUUUCGUGCUCUCUCCCACCGGCCCCAGAGGUCAGGAAAGCCACUGGAUUUGGGAUCUAUCAGCUUCCCCUUCUGAUACUGGAAGACGUGCUGGUGUGUGGGAAGUCUCGCCUCAGUGUUAAACUGAGUGCUCUUGAUCGGGCAACCUCUGUGGAUGCACAGUUGUUGACCCUUCGAUGUGGAAUUGGCCAUUCCACAUCUACAUGGGAGAGAGACAAAGCAUACUCUGAGAUUCCCCUUUGGGGUGUAUACUUAAAAAUUGGAAAAAAUGGCACUAAUAAGCUUGAAGAAAAAGCAUAUCGGAUAUUAUACAUUUACAACAAGAAUUUAAUAAGUUAAACCUAAUUGUAUAGGAGCAAGAAGCUAUAGAAAUUGCUUCUAAAUGAAAAGAAACUUAAGCUUCUAUUAACCCAAAAAAUGGUUUGGCAGAAUUAAUUUUACAAACUUUGGCAAUGUCAUAUUCUUGGUUGUUAUAUUGAUUAGUUUAUUUAUACAGAAGAAGAGGUUUAAAUUUGGCUUAUAUCAGAUAUAUGCAGCCAGAAGUUGCAAUAUCACUUCAUUCUCAUCAUUUUUGUAUCAGAAUGUAAUGUUUAUGGGAAUAUUGGUACUUUUAAAAAUUUGCAUUAAUUGUUGUAUUAAUGUUUUUGUAAAUCUUUUCAUGAUGAAAAAUUUUGUACAAUUACAAUGUGAAUCUUGGUCAACUUAAAUUAGGGAAAUAGAAAUCAUUUUUGAAUGGAAAUUCUUGUAUUACACAUUGGCUUAACUAAUACAAUGCCACAUGAAAUGUGAGCUGUGAAUUUAAAAUUUUAUAUUAAUUUUAUUUUUAUUUCCCCCUGAUUAUUUUUUAGAUUAUUUUUCCCAUAUAUUAUCUUUUUUAAGGACUAGAAGUACAUUGAAAGUAGUAUUAAUACUCUGAUUCUGAACUAUGAAUUAACUAUAAAUCUGACCCUUUAUUUUUAUAAAUACCCAAAAGCUUGAAAGUAGGAAUGUGACAGAAUGUGUUAAACUUCAUGGGACUAUUCUGAGUUAUUGUGUCUGAUUGCAUAAGAAGGGAUUAUGAUGGAUACCUUAUACUUUGCCAGAAAGUCUAAGCCAUAGACAGAUGUGUAUUCCAUUUGAGAUGGAUGUAUAUUGGUUGCUAAGGUUGGAGGUAAAAGGAUGCGGUGUUUUGACACCAUCAAACACAGGGCGACCUGGUACCAAAGUUCCUACCAAAUAGCUAUGUGGCAGGCAUCUUGGCUUCUAUAUCACAAAAAUUAUGCAUGAUCAGGGCUAGGGAAACAAAAGACUUCCAUCUCAUCUUGAGAUAUAGUCCUUUUCAUUAAUUUUAAAGGUCUGGCAACUUCUUAUAGUCCUGGAUUUACAUGGGUAAGAUGGCAUAUUAAUACACAUGUCCUAUGGACUGUGAAACUGAUAUCACAUUAAUUCAGGAUCACUAGAGAGUUAAGAUCAUUCUAUUAUUAUUUUUGACUAUUAUUGGUCUUUCAUAAACUUUUUUACCUUUGAUUUUGCAGUUGAUAUAAAAUUCAUUUUUUUCUUCUCAUUUUUACAGGAUGAUUAGUAAGUUAAGAUCAUUUUUGUUUUCAUUAUUGGUCUUAUAUAAUUUUUAAAUCUAAUUUUUCUAUUUGAUUUGAAAUUCAUUUUUAUUUGUUAUUUUUGCUAUGUUCAUUACUAUUUUUAUUUUUUUAUUUAGUUUAUAAUGUUUUUAUUUUUUACAUUAUACACUCUUGUUUUAAAUUUUAAACAAAAAGGGAGAUAUGUAGCAUACCAGGCAUGUUAGCAUCUUGGAAGUAGGAUUGAUGUAUUGAUAUUGUAUCUUAUGUAUUCAUUUACCAAACUCAUGGUCAGGUCACUUAUUAAUCAUUGGAUAGAUAAGUCUGCAGUCCAAAGGGCAAGAGAAUUCCUGAGUGGAGCAUUUCCGGCCACAGGGUCCUAACUUAAGACUUGUCAGACCAUAUUCCUUUCCAAGGCACAUGUUGGAUUAAUCUCCUCCUCUUUGAUUUCAUGAUUGUCAAUUCAACCAAUGCUAAAACCUAUGCCAUGUCACGUAUUCACUAAUUACCUCCCUCCCACUCCACAUUCCUAAAAUCUCCAAUAAAAGUUGGGGAACAUGUGUGAGCCUCCCUCUUGCCUCUUGCCUCUUGCCUCUUGCCUUUCUUGAUCUUCAAACUGUUCUGGAUCUUCCUGUCGCUCUAGCUUCUAUUGCUCCCCACUUGUUUUCUUGUUUCUCAUGCUUCUCAUUAAUCCUGUGGCACCCUUGCCCAUGGGAAGUAUUACGGAGCUCGCUGCACCCCACGUGUUUUAA